GACGAACGCUGGCGGCGUGCCUAAUACAUGCCAGUUGAGCGAUGAAGCUUGGUGCUUGCCCCAAUUUGAAGAGCAGCGAACGGGUGAGUAACGCGUGGGGAAUCUGCCUUUGAGCGGGGGACAACAUUUGGAAACGAAUGCUAAUACCGCAUAACAACUUUAAACAUAAGUUUUAAGUUUGAAAGAUGCAAUUGCAUCACUCAAAGAUGAUCCCGCGUUGUAUUAGCUAGUUGGUGAGGUAAAGGCUCACCAGGGCGAUGAUACAUAGCCGACCUGAGAGGGUGAUCGGCCACAUUGGGACUGAGACACGGCCCAAACUCCUACGGGAGGCAGCAGUAGGGAAUCUUCGGCAAUGGACGAAAGUCUGACCGAGCAACGCCGCGUGAGUGAAGAAGGUUUUUGGAUCGUAAAACUCUGUUGGUAGAGAAGAACGUUGGUGAGAGUGGAAAGCUCAUCAAGUGACGGUAACUACCCAGAAAGGGACGGCUAACUACGUG
rnacentral:rRNA from 1 species